UACGUAGGGGGCUAGCGUUGUCCGGAUUUAUUGGGCGUAAAGAGCGUGUAGGCGGCCAGAUAGGUCUGCUGUGAAAACUCGAGGCUCAACCUCGAGAUGUCGGCGGAAACCAUUUGGCUAGAGUCCGGAAGAGGAAAGUGGAAUUCCUGGUGUAGCGGUGAAAUGCGCAGAUAUCAGGAAGAACACCCGUGGCGAAGGCGGCUUUCUGGGACGGUACUGACGCUGAGGUGCGAAAGCGUGGGGAGCAAACAGG
rnacentral:rRNA from 1 species